rnacentral:rRNA from 1 species
UACGGGGGGGGCAAGCGUUGUUCGGAAUUACUGGGCGUAAAGCGCGCGCAGGCGGUCUUCCAAGUCAGUGGUGAAAGCCCGGAGCUCAACUCCGGAACUGCCAUUGAAACUGUUAGACUUGAGGAUGAGAGAGGUGAGUGGAAUUCCCAGUGUAGAGGUGAAAUUCGUAGAGAUCGGGAGGAAGGCCGGUGGCGAAAGCGGCUCUCUGGAACGGUACUGACGCUGAGACGCGAAAGCGUGGGGAGCGAACAGG